CCACUGUCUGCACGGGCGCAGUACCUACUCUCUGCCUGCGGGGUCGUCUUUCCCCACCGCUCGUCUAGUGUGUCCGAAUUGGGCCAACGUAUUCAGUAUGUAGGAGUAGGAUCUAGCAGUAGCACGUAGCAGUAGCAUGUAGUAUCCGAGCGGGCAGUUCGGACGCAGCAAGAGUCUCCUCUUCUCACAGAUUGGGUGUGUCCCCCCUGCACUGGCUCUCCCUGCACACUCACACCUGCACCUAAUCACUGCAAUCACCAGCAGCUCUUAAACUCUGAUGCCUCUCCAGUGCCGGAUUAUUCCCACAUCUCAUGUGGUACGUCAGCCAACUCUGCUCGUGUUCUUGUAUUUUGCUACUUUCAUUAUAGAACUUUGCCAAUUUUGUGUCCUUUCCAUGUCAUGUCACUUACUGGUGUUUGUUCUGCUUUUUCCAGUGCCUCCACAAGCCCUGGUGCAAUCCAAUCUCUGUCACACUCUCUCUGAAAAUCACUCACCUGCUACAGCCUUCACCCCUCCUCAGAAUCCCCUCCCUCCUCCUUUCCCCAAUCAAUAAAUUAACUCUAAUGCUUCAUCUGCCUCUGGUUCACAUUACAAAAACUGGUAUCAUACCAAAACAUAUAUUUCUAUAUCACAAAGACUAUGAAAAUUGGGAAAAAAAGUGCAUUUUUUAAGUGUCUGAUUUCUCGAUUUGCUUCAGACCAAUACAGUUGUCAGGGUUCUGGUUUAUCCCAAGUUUACGACUUUGUUCUGUUCAUUCUGACCACCCCUUACUAUAGGGUGACCAAUUGUGGAUCCCCAAAAAGAGGACACUACUAUGUGGGGCAGAGUUGCGCGCAAAAUUUUGAGUGUUUUUUAUGCGCUUCUACCUUAGUUAGUCCACACUACACAAACUGAAAACUUCCAUACAAAACCCCGGACUUAAAAGACAGGCCAGACAGCCCCCCAAAAAGAGGACGUAUGGUCACCCCACUUACUACAUGUCAUUCCUCACCCUCUCUCUCGCCAGUUUCUAUCUAUCGUCCUGUAUUUUUAUUAACACGUUAAAAGACCCCCUAAAAAUCUUAAAGGAAAAAUAUAAUGCAAAAGAAUGAAAAAACAGAGGCCUCUUUUGACCUUUCACAAGAGGUCAUAGAGAUGAACACAAUCAACAAAUGACUAUCCCUCAUUUUUGUUUUGUGGUAAUUUGUCCAGUAUUUGAUAACAGUAACUGAAAGGACUGGUGAAGAGAGAGGAGGCUUCAAAUAGAUUUCUGUCUGUCUUGGAGACAAACACAAAUAAGCUAACUGAGAAAGGAGGUUUGUUUUCAGUGUGAACUUUGUACGCAUGCAAAACACUGUUGCUUUUGGUAAAAGGAUCUGCAACUUUGCAUGUUUUAUAGACAAACGCACUGUCAAUAAGCACCAAAGAGGAAGCAGUGUAAAAAAAGGGUGUGACUUGCUGUCAGAGCAUCACAUUAUUACUACUUCUGACAUGCACAACUUAUCAAAGCCACAGAGUGCACGUACACAACUUAAAUCUCACUUUUCCUUGUUGUUUUUUGAAAACGUCUGCUUAAAAAUGCAAAGUAAAUGAACUUUUUCCUCUCCUCCUCAGGGACCCAUCUCGGUCUAUGCUGUCAUUUACAGUGGCAUUUUUAAAUGUCACUUGUCCACGAGGCACAGGAUGUGACUUGACAGUGUGGUAAAUGCAGGC
rnacentral:lncRNA from 1 species